rnacentral:rRNA from 1 species
UACGUAUGGAGCAAGCGUUAUCCGGAUUUACUGGGUGUAAAGGGUGCGUAGGUGGCAGUGCAAGUCAGAUGUGAAAGGCCGGGGCUCAACCCCGGAGCUGCAUUUGAAACUUCAUAGCUAGAGUACAGGAGAGGCAGGCGGAAUUCCUAGUGUAGCGGUGAAAUGCGUAGAUAUUAGGAGGAACACCAGUGGCGAAGGCGGCCUGCUGGACUGUUACUGACACUGAGGCACGAAAGCGUGGGGAGCAAACAGG